GACGGAGGGUGCUAGCGUUGUUCGGAAUUACUGGGCGUAAAGAGCGUGUAGGCGGCCAGGUAGGUCAGCUGUGAAAACUCGAGGCUCAACCUCGAGAUGUCGGCUGAAACCAUCUGGCUAGAGUCCGGAAGAGGAGAAUGGAAUUCCCGGUGUAGCGGUGAAAUGCGCAGAUAUCGGGAAGAACACCCGUGGCGAAGGCGGUUCUCUGGGACGGUACUGACGCUGAGACGCGAAAGCGUGGGGAGCGAACAGG
rnacentral:rRNA from 1 species